CUGAUGGUCUAGAGGUUAGAACGUGGUGUUUUCACUGCCAUGGCCUAGGUUCAAUCCCUAGUCAG
rnacentral:tRNA from 1 species